rnacentral:lncRNA from 1 species
UUUCUCCCUCUAACAUCCUUUAAUUCACCAGGAAACAACCACCACAGAGCUGCUCAAUUUGUCUGGUACGUGGACCCAUGGCUCCUGAGAGGUGGGAAGGGGCUGCCUGCAUCCGUGGGCCCUGAAUCACGACAUAGAGGAAGAUGCCUCUGCUUCUCGAUGUUGGAGGUGGGAAGAAAGCAAGGGCAGGACAAUGCCCUCCAGGAGAUGCCAAUGUGGAUGAAUUUAGCCUGCAGUACAGGGCAUCAGAAGCCCCAAAUAGAGAAGCGGCAGUCUCGUUUCCAAUGCAAUGGAAAAUGCGAGUGGGGAAGAGCAAGCCCUUAGGAGGCAGCCAGGUAGGCUGGGCCCACAUAUCUGGGGCUUUAGGCACAUGUGGCUAAUCUGUGCUAGACAGGCCCAACACUGCCUCAGACCAACCUGGGUUCAAAUUAUGGUUGUACCAAGGACUAACAAUCUCCCCACUGAGACCCUUCUCUGUGUCAGGACAGUGUUGGGGGCUCUAACACAAGUCACUGCAUUUAAUCCUAAAACAAUCCUGUAGGCAGAUGCUAUUGUUCUCGUGUGCAGAUGGGAAAACUGAUACUCAGCACAACAAGCCAACUCGCCCAGAACCACCCUCCAUGAAGUGGCAGAGAUGGGAUUACGUUCUGGCUGUCUGACCUAGAAGUCAGAGGUGCUUUGACAAUAGACCUGGGUGUAGCCAUCUAACUGCUCUAAACUUUGCUUUCCCCAUCUGUAAAAUGGGAGUUCAUUCAGCAGAUAUUUUUUGGAGCAGUCACAGAGCUAUGAAUAGGCACAGAGCUUUGGGCAUUAUAAUCCCUGCUCCACAUGGUUUGUGUGUGGAUUAAAUAAAAUGAAUUGAUAACUUUACUAUCCCUGUAUCAGACACAAACUGUAUUUACCUUCCCUUUUGCAUUUUAUAACAUUUUUUCCUCUACGUCAGGAUGUGCCAUAUUCUACAUGAGAAGUUGCCAGUUUUUCCCCUUAGAGUAAAAGUAGUUUGAGAUUUUCUGUGAAAGAUGCUGGUUUGAUGAGUGUAUGAGACAAUGUAGAUUUUGUCUUCUGCUCUGAUGGUUAGUAAGUUGGAAUAGCGAGGGCAUCUGAAACUCACUUUCUGGGGUCCAUCUGCCCUCCCACACAGGAUUUCCCACUUGGUUUAGCGGGGCCUGUUGAGCCUGCUCCGUCAUGGAUGCAUUCGCAGAACAGUUCUGCAGUUGAUGUGCUGAUAAUGUGGUUUUAACACAUUUAUAAACAUUUGGCUAUCUCCUACAGUCACUAUCUUUUAGAGGAAAAUAAAUUGUCUUCCUGAUCUGACAAGCUUGCUGCUGCCUGAGGCUGGAGUGUGUUGCGGCAGGGAUGGACACUCCCAGGAGCUGGGAGAGGCUUGCCUUCACUUCCUAGGGCUGCGGUAACAAAUUCACACAAACUGGGGGCUGCAAACAACAGGCAUGCUUUGUCUCACAGUUCUGGAGGCUAACGUCUGAAAUCGAUGUGUGGGCAGGCUUGGUUCCCUCUGGUGGCUAUGAGGUCUCGCUCACCUUCUGGGGGCUGCCUGCAAUCCUUGGUGUCCCUUGGAUUCAAGAGGCAUCCUUCCCGUCUUUGCCCCACCCUCACAGCACCAUCUUCUCUAUGUGUGUCUUCUUUUCUGUCUCUUCUAUGCACACUUAUCAUUUGAUUUAGGGGCCCCUCUAAGCUCUAAGCCAGGAAAAUCUCACCUUGAAAUCUUCAUUUUAAUUAUAUCUGCAAAGACCCUUCUUCCAAAUAAGAUUGGAUAUUGAGGUUCUCUUUUGGGAAACCACUAUUCAAUCUAGGUACCCUGUGUUCCUGUUCGAGCUGGGUCAAUACUUUGCUGCCUGGCCUUGAGCAAGUCACUUUGCCUUUCUGGGUCUCAGUUUCUCUUAGAUCGUCUCCUACAUUGCUUACAGGUAGAAUGUGCCAAUAGAGUGAGGGGUCCCAGGAAAUGGUUCAGACCAAGCUUCCUUCAUUCAACAGUGAUGCUCCUGCUCUGUACUAGCCUCAGUGCUGUAUCCCAGGGAGGCAGACGACCCCGAGCCUUGUACCUCCAGCCACUAAGAACAAAGUUUAGAGGGAAAGCAGACCUUGGAGUAGCUGAUUACAACAGACUAGAAUGGGUGCUUUGAAAGGUCAGCGCCUUGCUUCAUUCACACCGUGAAAGUCCUGGCACCAUUUGUAAUUGAUGAAUCAUUUUAAAUGGACAUAUUUUGCAGCCAGGGAGAGCUGUGAGAGGACACAACCUGAGUGUUUGUUGGAGCACAGAGGAAAGGCAACUGGCCUUGUCUUGGAGGAUCCAGAUGGGUUCCUAGCAGAGAUAGGGUCCAAACAGAGGCCUGAAGGACAAGUGAGUGUGAGAUGAGGGAGGGGACAGGGUGCUGCUCCAGGUACAACCAUAGCACGUGCAUGGGGCAGAGGUGAGAGAGAGCCUGUUCCCCGCCAGGAUGGAUAAGUGGCUUAUAAUGACAGUAUAACUGCCCAAGGUCACACACCUCUUAAGAGGUAGAGCUAAGACUUGACUCCAAGAAGUCAGAUUCUAGAGCCAAAGUAUGAUAACAUGUUGAGGAAAUGUGGUGUCAUCCAUCGGAAACCAUUUAAUAAAUUCUAUUCAGAUUGGCUUAAAUGCUCAUAUCAACUAUAUACUAAUUAACUGAAAUUUAUUUUAGUGCAUUUAAUUGAAGUAAUUUUUGAG